rnacentral:tRNA from 1 species
GCAUUGGUGUUUCAAUGAUAGAAUGCUCACCUUUCUUCUGGGAUACCUGGGUUCAAUUCCCACCUCGUGCA